rnacentral:rRNA from 1 species
ACAGCAGUAGCCACGGGAAUACGUAGGUGGCAAGCGUUGUCCGGAAUUAUUAGGCGUAAAGGGCUCGCAGGCGGUUUCUUAAGUCUGAUGUGAAAGCCCCCGGCUCAACCGGGGAGGGUCAUUGGAAACUGGGAAACUUGAGUGCAGAAGAGGAGAGUGGAAUUCCACGUGUAGCGGUGAAAUGCGUAGAGAUGUGGAGGAACACCCGUGGCGAAGGCGACUCUCUGGUCUGUAACUGACGCUGAGGAGCGAAAGCGUGGGGAGCGAACAGGAUUAGAUACCCCCGUAGUCCCUGUCUCUAUACA